rnacentral:rRNA from 1 species
GUUUGAUCCUGGCUCAGGACGAACGCUGGCGGCGUGCUUAACACAUGCAAGUCGAACGGUGAUCUUGGGGCUUGCCCCGGGUGAUCAGUGGCGAACGGGUGAGUAACACGUGAGUAACCUGCCCCUUACUCUGGGAUAACCCCGGGAAACCGGAGCUAAUACCGGAUACGACCUGCUCGGGCAUCCGAUGCGGGUGGAAAGAUUUAUCGGUUGGGGAUGGGCUCGCGGCCUAUCAGCUUGUUGGUGGGGUGAUGGCCUACCAAGGCGACGACGGGUAGCCGGCCUGAGAGGGCGACCGGCCACACUGGGACUGAGACACGGCCCAGACUCCUACGGGAGGCAGCAGUGGGGAAUAUUGGACAAUGGGGGAAACCCUGAUCCAGCAAUGCCGCGUGGGUGAAGAAGACCUGCGGGUUGUAAAGCCCUUUCGGUGAAGACAAAACGCGCCGUGCUAAUACCACGGUGUUUUGAUUUAACUCACUAAAGAAGCACCGGCUAACUCUGUGCCAGCAGCCGCGGUAA